rnacentral:rRNA from 1 species
AAUAGAUACCCGUGGUAGUCCACGCCGUAAACGUUGGAUACUAGGUGUGGCGGUCUUACCAACGACGUGCCGUGCCGAAGCUAACGCAUUAAGUAUCCCGCCUGGGGAGUACGGCCGCAAGGCUAAAACUCAAAGGAAUUGACGGGUCCCCGCACAAGCGGCGGAGCAUGCGGCUUAAUUCGAUGCAACCCGAAGAACCUUACCUGGGUUUGACAUCACGGGAAAAGCUGUAGAAAUACAGUGUCCAUUAGGGCCCGUGACAGGUGGUGCAUGGCUGUCGUCAGCUCGUGUCGUGAGAUGUUGGGUUAAGUCCCGCAACGAGCGCAACCCUUGUCCUAUGUUGCCAGCGGUUCGGCCGGGGACUCAUAGGAGACUGCCGGGGAUAACUCGGAGGAAGGUGAGGACGACGUCAAGUCAUCAUGCCCCUUAUAUCCAGGGCUGCACGCAUGCUACAAUGGCCGGUACAACGGGCAGCGAUCCCGCGAGGGUGAGCGAAUCCUAAAAAGCCGGUCCUAGUUCGGAUUGAAGUCUGCAACUCGACUU